rnacentral:lncRNA from 1 species
AUAUAUAUGUGUAUAUACAUACAUAUAUGUCAUUGCUCAUUUGUUGCUCAUGAGCAACAGCUUAACUAAAGACCUUCAAUGUAUUCCCACUGUGCUAAAAUAAAAUUCAAACUCUGUAACGUGGCUUAUGGGGUUCUACAUUAUUUGGUUGUUACCUACCUGUACUGCUAAAGAUUUUGGUCAUACAAAUAGAAAAAACAAAUGCAACAAAGCAAAAACACAAAAAAGAAAUAUAAGGCAUAAAAAUGAAAAAGUAAACAUUCUCCAUUUGCAGACAUGAGUAUCUAUGAGGAAUACCCAAAGGAAUGCACAAAGCAACUACAAGAAUUAAGAGGUGAUUCAGCAAGCUUGCAGCAUAAAUGGGUGCUGGCUGGAGACCUUCAUAGGAUGUUGGCUAGAGUCUGUUCUCAGCUUCUGGAAACCACCUGUAGUUUCGUGCCACAUGGAGUUCCUCAACAUUGCAGCUAGCUUCCUCAAAGCCAGCAAGGGAGGAAGACUUCAGCAAAAUGGGCACUACAGUCAUGGACAAGUUCUGAGAAAUGCAUUGGGUGAAAACAGAAGGUCUCCCUGAAGUAAUCUUUGCUGUGAAAAGAAUUAUUUGAGUGGUGUGGUUGACAGAAUAGUGGGCCCCUAAAGAUGUCUACAUCCCAGUCCCCAGGACCUGUUACCUUACGUAGUAAAAGACACUUUGCAGAUGUGAUUAAGAUGAAGACAAGGAUGGCCAUAUUGGAAGCAACAUGUUGAAGACAAUGGAGCCA